rnacentral:rRNA from 1 species
AUGGUGGGGCGUGCCCAGCCGCACGCUGGAGGCCGUCCUCGAGUACAUCGAGGGCGGCAACACGCCGAGGCUGGAGUACCCCGCUCCCCCGUCCAUCUCUCGCCGGCGUGGGAGCUCGUGGACGCCGAGGCGCAUGGACCCGCGGAAGUCCUCCUCCUCGUCCGGCCGCUCGUCCGACUCUCCCUGCCUCCGCCUCGUCAAGUUGGAGCCCCAGGACACGCCUGUCAGCGCGCACACCCGCAGCUCUGGCGUCCGCAUCGACGACUCCGCCCCCGCCUCUGGCCGCCCCGUCCUCGUCAGGCCGAAGCCGGAGCCCGGCCUCCCCGCGGAGUUCGAGGAGACAGCCCGGCGUGGCUUCUCCGACGAGGACGCCCUACGGUGGACAGCACCGGGCCCUGA